CGGGAUCGCAAACGACGUCGUCUCCGCCGUGGCAUAUCAGCAUCGGCACCUCGACUUCCUCGAACCUCCCUUGCAAAUCCCUCGAUACGCGCAGCAACUCCAGCGCGGUCGCCGCACGCGGCCUCGCCACCGGCCUCCUCGGGCUCGACAGCGCCAGCUUCCUCUUCCACUCCUCCUUGAACGAGACCAUCGGGAGCGAACCGCGGGUGGGAACCACGCGCCAGGUAGGCACCAGCCACGCGACUGUGAAAAGAAGGUGCUCCAAGGGCCACGGCGGCUUGAAUUUCUGGCUAAUCCCGCACAUGGCCCCAUUCAAAAUCAAACCAUCCCACGCGCCCUUCUGACGGAGCGUGAUGUAAAGAGCAAUGGCCCCACCUAAGGACUCGGAGUACAAAAACGCGGGCAAAUCCGGCGCGUGUCUCGCACGGAAUGAAUCGAAGAAGGAAAUCGCGUCUUCGACGACGGGGUUGAGGUCGGGAAUGUGAGCGACAAGUCCAUCAGAGAAGCCGUGGCCCUGGUGAUCGAUAGCGCACGUGGCGAAGCCCGAUUUGGCGAAGAGGACGGCGGUGAGCUGGACAAUCCAGCUGGUCUCGCCGGUGAAGCCGUGGACGACGCAGAGGACGCCGAGGGUUUUGGCGGGAGGGAGUGGGGUCCACCACUGGGUGAAGAGCCUGAGGCCGCGCGAGUUGGUGAUGUACUCGGAGGAGUGACUCACUGAGUGGCGGGCGUAGAACUCGUCCGGAGUCAAUGAGCCGAAUAGGCUCUGCUCGUUGGCUUCGGCAACCGGGUGUAUGGGCAUUUUUGAAAUUUGAUUUUUGCCUUUGAGAACUGAGAAGACAAGCUUUCAGUUUCAGUUAGUAGGUUAGUUUCUGUUGAGCGACCGGUUUCAGUACUCAAUUGGUCUAGGCAGGCAGGAUUCUGAUGUUUCUGGGAUUGCGUUCUCUAUGGUGCGGCAUUAUAUGGGUAAUGGGUGGCCAAUUAAUGUAAUUCUUUUUUCCCUUUUUUUUCAUUAAAAUAUAUAAUGGCUUGGGUAAAACUUAAAUUGAUUUUGAAUUCUAAUGAUGAGUUAAAACAAAAAAUGUUUUUAAAAUUAUUUGGUAAUACACUAAUUAGUCUCUAUUUCAACUCGAAUAAUUUACUUAAAAAGUUAAUUAAAAAUUAAUCGUUUUCUUUUUCGCUUUCUUUUUCGUUUUCAUGUUAAUGUAACACUAAAUGCUCAAUAAAUGCAGUGCCAUUAUUUUCUGGUAAGAACUAAGAAGAAACCAAAGAAUAGAGUGGGGGUGGAACCCAUCAUGUAGCGAGCUGCUCGGUCAUGUAUGAGUGAAUCAGUGAAUAGAGAUGUCCUUGAAAAUAAAUAAGGAGGUUGGGGGAUAAAGGAGGUCGUUGGCAUAGUCGAUCAGUACCAACCAGCGAAUUGGUAGAAUUGGAUAUUUUCUGCUUUCCCCCCACCAAAUUGGUUUCCAAAUUAAUCUAGCUGUGCAUUGUAUUGUCCAAUAAGUACCAAACACAUACGUACUGUAGAAUCUCUUAUUAUCUGUGACUAUCAUAUAUGAACAUAUGAUUCAAAUUAAAACAAGAAGACUCACGGAUAAAGCUAACUCAAUCAACCAUAUCUUUGAGAUGUAGUCAUUCCCGCAAGGGCACGUCAUACUUUUUAUUAGUAUUUGCUGUGGGGCAUAGGAAUUGGUUGAGCAUGUUAUUCCAUUUUCAAGAGUCAAAACCACUAUCCACAUUCGGAUGCAAGCCCAACCCAAAAUGAGCCCAAACGCAUAAGAAAUACAAAGAGUGGGCAAACUUAUACAAUAAGGAUCUAUUGCCAAAAAAGCUGAUGAAGAAAAUAGCCAUCAGGAUAUAUAUCGCAGAGAUAUGAAAUACUACGAAUGGUUUUCUCUUACCUAUUAGAUCAAAUACAUACUGUGUACAUUGGAAACUAAAGCAAAUCAGUCUAACAAACACACCACUAGCUGGAACUAUUACUUUAGCUAGCACAUUUCUUCUCUCACUUUCUUCUUCUCAACACUUAAACCUUAAGGCUUUGAUAUUCCUUCGAUAUGUACAAUCUUGUCAUGUGUACACAUUGUUGUACUGAUCACACGCCCCAACAGACACUGCCUCAGUUCUCUUCAUGAUCAAUGCAAGCUGAAAGGAUAAAGUAUAUCGUAUCAGAUGACAAAAUCCACCACUAGUCAUUUUAAUGCUUUCUGUAUGAUUGUUCACACUCGAUGGUAGCAUGGCUUGGGUUCAGUGUUAAGAAAGAAAGAAUGUGCAUGUAUACAAAUUGAAAGUCAUGUAAUCCAGAAGAAAUUUGCUUGAUGUUAAUAUGAGCACAUGAAUGGUAUUCAUCACAAACCUAACCAAAAUAUCAGAACUUUACUCAGAACACCAUUUAAGAACUUCAUGACAUCAUCUUCAAUUAACAACAGAGCAUAAACAUACCUAAAUUCUCAAUUAAUGGGACUAGAGCUGACAAAAUUUGACACGACCCGAUUACCCGACACGAACACGACACAAAUUUGACACGAUUAUUAAAUGGUUGGGUCCAAGUCGACACAAUUUUUUUUCAUGCCGGGCUAGGGUUAAAGUUCUUGACCCAUUCACCCGACCAAUGACACGAUUAUAUUUUCUAUUUUAAAUUAAUUUCUAGGUUCUUGUCAUUAAAACUCAAAUAUUGGACAUGAUUCUUUCUUCUUCUUUCUGCUGUACGGCCAAGGAAAGAAAUUCUUAGUGUGCCUUCUAGCAAUCCAAAAAGACCAUCCAUUUUUUUUUUCUUUUUGUUUGGUUCAUCUAUUGAAAAUGAAGGCUAUGAAGCAAUAGAAAUGUGAAUGAGAUCUCCUGUUUUUAUGUUUCCUUGAAAAUUGGAGAUCUAAUUGACUUGUUCUAACUUGUUACUUGUUACACAUACGUUGAAGAUGUGACCAGAGUUAUUCCUAUAUUUCAUUUAAAUACUAAUGCAUAUUAGCGUAUAUGCAAAGAUAACAAGGAAUUGACAAUUUUAGAGAACUCACGUUAAUUUUUUACUUUUUUUUUAAAUAGAAUUUUUUACCAUUAAUUCAAUGGAAUUUGUUAGAAAUUGAAAGGUCAUGAUACCUUCAUUAUUUGAAAUGACUAAUUUAUCCUUCGUUUCCUUCAAGAGCUCGAAAACUUCUAAACGCUCAACGCUCAAGCCAACACAGACGGCUAGGAUGUCCUCAAUUAAUUUGAGAGGAAAAUUACAGGUUAAUUAUGCAUGAUUUGAUUAAGGAGCAAAGGAACAUUAAAAAAGUGUAAUUAACAUUGCCAACGAACGUGCCCAACAUUAAUUUAUUAGUUAUUUCAAAUAAAGCAUCCACUUGGCAUACUAUAAUUGGUUGUUUGCUACAGCAGCCACUACAGACCUCAUUAAGCGCCAGAAUCUAACUCAGCGGCAGGGCGCGAACCAUCACCGCCCUUGGCAGCGCUCGAGGCUCUUUCUCUCAGCCAUUCCACCAUCUCUCCGAAAACCAACUCAACAUUCUCCUCAGGCUCGCCAAUCAGCUGAUGCCACAUGCCUGGAUAAAUGCUCAGCGUCUUAUCCUUACUCGCUGCACGUUUAUACAACUCCUCAACGCAGGCGGGAUCGCAAACGACGUCGUCUCCGCCGUGGCAUAUCAGCAUCGGCACCUCGACUUCCUCGAACCUCCCUUGCAAAUCCCUCGAUACGCGCAGCAACUCCAGCGCGGUCGCCGCACGCGGCCUCGCCACCGGCCUCCUCGGGCUCGACAGCGCCAGCUUCCUCUUCCACUCCUCCUUGAACGAGACCAUCGGGAGCGAACCGCGGGUGGGAACCACGCGCCAGGUAGGCACCAGCCACGCGACUGUGAAAAGAAGGUGCUCCAAGGGCCACGGCGGCUUGAAUUUCUGGCUAAUCCCGCACAUGGCCCCAUUCAAAAUCAAACCAUCCCACGCGCCCUUCUGACGGAGCGUGAUGUAAAGAGCAAUGGCCCCACCUAAGGACUCGGAGUACAAAAACGCGGGCAAAUCCGGCGCGUGUCUCGCACGGAAUGAAUCGAAGAAGGAAAUCGCGUCUUCGACGACGGGGUUGAGGUCGGGAAUGUGAGCGACAAGUCCAUCAGAGAAGCCGUGGCCCUGGUGAUCGAUAGCGCACGUGGCGAAGCCCGAUUUGGCGAAGAGGACGGCGGUGAGCUGGACAAUCCAGCUGGUCUCGCCGGUGAAGCCGUGGACGACGCAGAGGACGCCGAGGGUUUUGGCGGGAGGGAGUGGGGUCCACCACUGGGUGAAGAGCCUGAGGCCGCGCGAGUUGGUGAUGUACUCGGAGGAGUGACUCACUGAGUGGCGGGCGUAGAACUCGUCCGGAGUCAAUGAGCCGAAUAGGCUCUGCUCGUUGGCUUCGGCAACCGGGUGUAUGGGCAUUUUUGAAAUUUGAUUUUUGCCUUUGAGAACUGAGAAGACAAGCUUUCAGUUUCAGUUAGUAGGUUAGUUUCUGUUGAGCGACCGGUUUCAGUACUCAAUUGGUCUAGGCAGGCAGGAUUCUGAUGUUUCUGGGAUUGCGUUCUCUAUGGUGCGGCAUUAUAUGGGUAAUGGGUGGCCAAUUAAUGUAAUUCUUUUUUCCCUUUUUUUUCAUUAAAAUAUAUAAUGGCUUGGGUAAAACUUAAAUUGAUUUUGAAUUCUAAUGAUGAGUUAAAACAAAAAAUGUUUUUAAAAUUAUUUGGUAAUACACUAAUUAGUCUCUAUUUCAACUCGAAUAAUUUACUUAAAAAGUUAAUUAAAAAUUAAUCGUUUUCUUUUUCGCUUUCUUUUUCGUUUUCAUGUUAAUGUAACACUAAAUGCUCAAUAAAUGCAGUGCCAUUAUUUUCUGGUAAGAACUAAGAAGAAACCAAAGAAUAGAGUGGGGGUGGAACCCAUCAUGUAGCGAGCUGCUCGGUCAUGUAUGAGUGAAUCAGUGAAUAGAGAUGUCCUUGAAAAUAAAUAAGGAGGUUGGGGGAUAAAGGAGGUCGUUGGCAUAGUCGAUCAGUACCAACCAGCGAAUUGGUAGAAUUGGAUAUUUUCUGCUUUCCCCCCACCAAAUUGGUUUCCAAAUUAAUCUAGCUGUGCAUUGUAUUGUCCAAUAAGUACCAAACACAUACGUACUGUAGAAUCUCUUAUUAUCUGUGACUAUCAUAUAUGAACAUAUGAUUCAAAUUAAAACAAGAAGACUCACGGAUAAAGCUAACUCAAUCAACCAUAUCUUUGAGAUGUAGUCAUUCCCGCAAGGGCACGUCAUACUUUUUAUUAGUAUUUGCUGUGGGGCAUAGGAAUUGGUUGAGCAUGUUAUUCCAUUUUCAAGAGUCAAAACCACUAUCCACAUUCGGAUGCAAGCCCAACCCAAAAUGAGCCCAAACGCAUAAGAAAUACAAAGAGUGGGCAAACUUAUACAAUAAGGAUCUAUUGCCAAAAAAGCUGAUGAAGAAAAUAGCCAUCAGGAUAUAUAUCGCAGAGAUAUGAAAUACUACGAAUGGUUUUCUCUUACCUAUUAGAUCAAAUACAUACUGUGUACAUUGGAAACUAAAGCAAAUCAGUCUAACAAACACACCACUAGCUGGAACUAUUACUUUAGCUAGCACAUUUCUUCUCUCACUUUCUUCUUCUCAACACUUAAACCUUAAGGCUUUGAUAUUCCUUCGAUAUGUACAAUCUUGUCAUGUGUACACAUUGUUGUACUGAUCACACGCCCCAACAGACACUGCCUCAGUUCUCUUCAUGAUCAAUGCAAGCUGAAAGGAUAAAGUAUAUCGUAUCAGAUGACAAAAUCCACCACUAGUCAUUUUAAUGCUUUCUGUAUGAUUGUUCACACUCGAUGGUAGCAUGGCUUGGGUUCAGUGUUAAGAAAGAAAGAAUGUG
rnacentral:lncRNA from 1 species